GUGAAAAAAUUAGAGUGUUCAAAGCAGGCAGAUCCAAUUUUCUGCCACCGAAUACAUUAGCAUGGGAUAAUGGAAUAGGACCCUGUCCUCCUAUUUUCAGUUGGUUUUGGCAGCGCGAGGACUAGGGUAAUGAUUAAUAGGGAUAGUUGGGGGCAUUAAUAUUUAAUUGUCAGAGGUGAAAUUCUUGGAUUUAUGAAAGAUUAACUUCUGCGAAAGCAUCUGCCAAGGAUGUUUUCAUUAAUCAAGAACGAAAGUUAGGGGAUCGAAGACGAUCAGAUACCGUCGUAGUCUUAACCAUAAACGAUGCCGACCAGCGAUUAGGAGACGUUGAAUACAAAACACCACCAUCGGUUGCGGUCGUCCUUGGCGUCUCGGUUUCGGCCGGGGCGCGGGGAUGGCUUAGCCCGGUGGCACCGGUGAAUGACUCCC
rnacentral:rRNA from 1 species